rnacentral:rRNA from 1 species
GACGAACGCUGGCGGCGUGCCUACUACAUGCAAGUAGAACGCAGUUGCGAACGGGUGAGUAACGCGUAGGUAACUGCCUCAUAGCGGGGGAUAACUAUUGGAAACGAUAGCUACUACCGCAUACUGUGAGACGGACCUGCGUUGUAUUAGUUAGUUGGUGCGGUAAAGGCUCACCAAGGCGACGAUACAUAGCCGACCUGGGAGGGUGGACGGCCACACUGGGACUGGGACACGGGCCAGACUCCUACGGGAGGGAGCAGUAGGGCAGCAUCGGCAAUGGACGGAAGUCUGACCGAGCAACGCCGCGUGAGUGAAGAAGGUUUUCGGAUCGUAAAGCUCUGUUGUGAGAGGAGCGGUAACUAACCAGGAAGGGACGGCUAACUACGUGCCAGCAGCCGCGGUAAUAC